rnacentral:rRNA from 1 species
UACAGAGGUCUCAAGCGUUGUUCGGAUUCAUUGGGCGUAAAGGGUGCGUAGGCGGCGCGGUAAGUCGGAUGUGAAAUCUCGGAGCUUAACUUCGAAACUGCAUUCGAUACUGCCGUGCUUGAGGACUGGAGAGGAGACUGGAAUUUACGGUGUAGCGGUGAAAUGCGUAGAUAUCGUAAGGAAGACCAGUGGCGAAGGCGGGGUCUCUGGACAGUUCCUGACGCUGAGGCACGAAGGUCAGGGGGAGCAAACGGG